rnacentral:lncRNA from 1 species
CCGAGUUUUAUUUGGAUUCCACUCUGAACUAAGCUUGAGCUGCUCAAAUUAAUCCGUAACGGGACCUAAUGCUUUUGCUAAGUCCCAUAAACAUAUUAUUUUUUACUCAAACUUGAUGGUCUAGCCGUGCUUAGACCAUUGCCCUUUCUUCUUUUCCGCUCUCUCGGCAAUGUGAGCUUAUCCUUUAUUGUGGAGUUUACCAGCUGCCUGCCUUGGCACCCCUUUCUUAGAUUGCAAUCAGAUGCUCGCCGACAUAACCAUCCAGGAGAUUGGAAGGAUCAAAGCGAUUUGACUUUACACCAUUACUUUUAUGCGACGAUCACCUGAUCAGAUGAUUGCCGACCCCGAGGUUGGGAUCUCGUUGAUGACGAUGAACACAGCCUUAUAAUCUGUCCCGAUGCUAAACCAAGGCAAAAUCUUGAUUCGGCACCAAUCUCAGGACGUCGAGCUUACUACUCACUAAGAGGUUUUUGGAAUCUCCCAGUGAAAUAUAGGUACGAUCUGUUUUUGGCAUCCACAAUUAAUAAUUUUGAUUAUAAAAUAAUAAAUAGAUUUCUCUUCCCUAAUGGCCCGCAAGAUAAUGGCCUAAGAGGUAGGAGCCGAAUGGCUUAUCAAAUUUUUAUAUAAUAAUAUUCAGCUUCAUCUUUAUUUAAAAAGAUAAUGGGAAGGUCAAAAGAUAAACUUUGCUUCAAAAAAACUCUGAGUAUACUCUUAAAUUCUCCCACUCACUUACCUCUAUUAUUUCCAGACUC